rnacentral:lncRNA from 1 species
UAGGUUGGAGCGGUUGUACAUGUCUUCACACACGGCCGAAGCUAUGAGAUGGCACGCUGAUAGGGAAUUGCAUGACAAAGAUACCCUUAUACACCCUGCUGACGGGGAGGCUUGGAAGCAUAUAGACAGGGAGUUUCCUCAUUUUGCGUCAGAGGUCCGAAAUGUGAGGCUCGGGCUCUCAUCCGACGGGUUCAACCCUUUUGGCAACAUGAGUCUUCAAUAUAGUGUAUGGCCGGUGAUUUUGGUACCGUACAACCUUCCUCCAUGGAUGUGCAUGAAGAAGGAAUACAAUAUGUUGAGUUUGUUGAUCCCGGGGCCCGGUUAUCCAGGGAAGUGUCUCGAUGUGUAUUUGAGACCUUUGAUUGAAGAGCUUCAGUUUUUGUGGGACAUUGGUCAUCCCACUUAUGACAAGUGCACGAAGAAGGAAUACAAUAUGUUGAGUUUGUUGAUCCCGGGGCCCGGUUAUCCAGGGAAGUGUCUCGAUGUGUAUUUGAGACCUUUGAUUGAAGAGCUUCAGUUUUUGUGGGACAUUGGUCAUCCCACUUAUGACAAGUACAUGCACGAGAUGUUCCAGAUGCAUGUCAUGGUUGUUGGUACCAUCAGUGAUUUUUCUGCCCGUGGGAUGUUGUCGGGCAACGUUGUUAGGGGAUACAAGGCUUAUUCAGAGUGCCUUAGCGAUGAGGGGAACAGCAGUCAUUGCAACAAGAUAUGCAGAUUGGGUCACCGUGCUUUCCUUCCAUAUAAUCACGAAUGGCGGUUCGAUGAAAAGGCAUUUGAUGGGACCGUAGAACACGGUGUGCCUCCUAGAAGAUGGACGGGGGAAGAAAUUUUAGCAGUGCUUAAUGAGUACGAUUUUGGGCAGCUCAGCAAUCAUCCUAACAUUGUGGCGGCAAUACCUGAAAGACCCGACAGGUACAAAUUCUGGACACAUAAGAGCAUAUUCUGGGAACUCCCAUACUGGAGUAAGUUGUUGAUCAGGCACUACCUAGAUGUGAUGCACAUAGAAAAGAAUGUUUAGCGACAGUGUGGUGGGCACAGUGCUGAACUUGGAGGGGAAGAC